rnacentral:rRNA from 1 species
GGUAGGUGGUCUGAGAGGACGAUCACCCAGACUGGGACUGAGACACGGCCCAGACUCCUACGGGAGGCAGCAGUCGGGAAUUUUGCUCAAUGGGGGAAACCCUGAAGCAGCAACGCCGCGUGCGGGAUGAAGGCCUUCGGGUUGUAAACCGCUUUUACCAGGGACGAUAAUGACGGUACCUGAUGAAUAAGUCACGGCUAACUACGUGCCAGCAGCCGCGGUAAUACGUAGGUGACUAGCGUUGUCCGGAUUUACUGGGCGUAAAGAGCGCGCAGGCGGUCGUUCAAGUCGAGUGUGAAAGCCCCCGGCUCAACUGGGGAGGGUCAUUCGAUACUGAUCGACUCGAAGGCAGGAGAGGGAAGCGGAAUUCCCGGUGUAGUGGUGAAAUGCGUAGAUAUCGGGAGGAACACCAGUGGCGAAGGCGGCUUCCUGGCCUGUUCUUGACGCUGAGGCGCGAAAGCUAGGGGAGCAAACGGGAUUAGAUACCCCGGUAGUCCUAGCCGUAAACGAUGGACACUAGGUGUUGGUGGUAUCAACCCCACCAGUGCCGAAGCUAACGCAUUAAGUGUCCCGCCUGGGGAGUACGGCCGCAAGGCUAAAACUCAAAGGAAUUGACGGGGCCCCGCACAAGCAGCGGAGCGUGGGGUUUAAUUCGAUGCAACGCGAAGAACCUUACCAAGGCUUGACAUGACCAGGAAUCCGGCGGAAACGUCGGCGCCCCGCAAGGGGCCUGGCCACAGGUGUUGCAUGGCUGUCGUCAGCUCGUGUCGUGAGACGUUGGGUUAAGUCCCGCAACGAGCGCAACCCCUAUCGUGUGUUGUAUCACUCACACGAGACUGCCGAGAGAAACUCGGAGGAAGGCGGGGAUGACGUCAAGUCAGCAUGGCCCUUACGUCUUGGGCUACACCCACGCUACAAUGGCCGGUACAACGGGCGGCGAAACCGCGAGGUGGAGCAAAUCCCUUAAAGCCGGUCUCAGUUCGGAUUGUAGGCUGCAACUCGCCUACAUGAAGCCGGAGUUGCUAGUAACCGCCGGUCAGCAUACGGCGGUGAAUAUGUUCCCGGGGCUUGUACACACCGCCCGUCACGUCAUGAAAGCUGGCAACACCCGAAGCCGGUGGGCCAACCCGCAAGGGAGGCAGCCGCCGAAGGUGGGGUCGGUGAUUGGGACGAAGUCGUAACAAGGUAGCCGUACCGGAAGGUGCGGCUG